UUCAUAUCUCAUUUGUUUGUUAAUUUGUUUUUGUAAUGAUCUCUUUGUCCCUUCAUUUCUCUAACCCAUGGCUGUACCUAUAUUACCGGUUAAAAUGCAAAUUUUCUUAGAGGCUGGCCCCUACUGUUCAUAGCAAAAGAAUUUUGAUCUCACAAAAUGAUUUGCAUUUGGAUGAAGGAUUCCCACCACAUGUAUGAAUUUGCACCUGGAUGCAAAUCCAGGGAGAAUGGGUUCUGUGGUGGACUUGGGGAGAGGCAGUUGGUGUCUUCGGGGUCAAGGAAAGUAUUACACUCUGUGAAGAAUUCAAUCCUGUGCUACAGAACAAGACUGAGAGUGAAGCCUUUGAUUUUUGUCCUUUUGGAAAGUCUGCUUAGGUCAAAGGAGGGAAGGACACUGGGCCUGUUCACCUUCCUAUGCGACUGAGGAGCAGUUUAUGGCUGGCCAGGUGCAGAUGCCCUAUCUAAUCUCCCCUGUGGCUGUCAUAGCGCGGCAGCUGCAGCAGUUGGAGGGAGGUAGGGAGCUAUUAAAUAUCAAGGAAAUGUUUGUGCUAGUAUUGUCCCAUUUUGGGGUGGUACAGAAAUCCACAAUUUGUUUUCCACCUAGAAGCAUGACAGCUGCACAAGUGGUCUUCAACCUCAUGCCUUACUACCACCAAGUCUUUGUGACUGUGGACAGGACACCAGAAGGACAAGGACCCUGGUGAUGCACAGUGAAAGGCCUGCACAGCAGCUGCAGGAGGGCAUCAAGCCCCAGGCUCCUCUUCCUUCUUUUCCAUCAUUCUGGGGAUCUGGCUUUCAUUCUCAUGAACCUAGCCUCCUUAAUAAACAAUACCUGGAUGCCCA
rnacentral:lncRNA from 1 species